rnacentral:lncRNA from 1 species
AAGAUUUGCGACCUGCAGCUUCGUUGGGAGGAGCUACGAAGAUGUUAGAGUGGCUCUGUUUUUAUUUUAUACUCACGUAGUUUACUCUGUUUUCUGGUGCUUUCUUAAACAACUCCCACGUUAUGUAUAGUCAUUUUUCACAUAUAUAAAUUUCACAUUUAAGCAAAAAAAAAAACACUAGAACAACAUAAAAAUAUUUGAUGAUUUUGUUCGCCGUCUAUUCCUCUGAUUCAUAUCCUUUCCACAAAUAUAAAAUCCAAUUUUCUUCCACAUAUCGAUAUGUGUUUGUCUCUAUCAUCCUCAAAUCUCUUAUGUUAUACAAACUGAAAAAUAGCCUAGAAGAUCUCAUACAUCAUGCAACAAGUAAGUGUCUUCUUCUACGUAAUCGGUGAAUCUCU